AGAGUUUGAUCAUGGCUCAGGACGAACGCUGGCGGCGUGCUUAACACAUGCAAGUCGAACGGAAAGGCCCUGCUUGCAGGGUACUCGAGUGGCGAACGGGUGAGUAACACGUGGGUGAUCUGCCCUGCACUUCGGGAUAAGCCUGGGAAACUGGGUCUAAUACCGGAUAGGACCAUCGUUUAGUGUCGGUGGUGGAAAGUUUUUCGGUGCAGGAUGAGCUCGCGGCCUAUCAGCUUGUUGGUGGGGUAAUGGCCUACCAAGGCGUCGACGGGUAGCCGGCCUGAGAGGGUGGACGGCCACAUUGGGACUGAGACACGGCCCAGACUCCUACGGGAGGCAGCAGUGGGGAAUAUUGCACAAUGGGCGCAAGCCUGAUGCAGCGACGCCGCGUGGGGGAUGAAGGCCUUCGGGUUGUAAACUCCUUUCAACCAUGACGAAGCGUAAGUGACGGUAGUGGUAGAAGAAGCACCGGCUAACUACGUGCCAGCAGCCGCGGUAAUACGUAGGGUGCGAGCGUUGUCCGGAAUUACUGGGCGUAAAGAGCUCGUAGGUGGUUUGUCGCGUCGUCUGUGAAAUUCCGGGGCUUAACUCCGGGCGUGCAGGCGAUACGGGCAUAACUUGAGUGCUGUAGGGGAGACUGGAAUUCCUGGUGUAGCGGUGAAAUGCGCAGAUAUCAGGAGGAACACCAAUGGCGAAGGCAGGUCUCUGGGCAGUAACUGACGCUGAGGAGCGAAAGCAUGGGUAGCGAACAGGAUUAGAUACCCUGGUAGUCC
rnacentral:rRNA from 1 species